ensembl:lncRNA
GGCUAGUCUGAGAGGCUCCUGUAACGAGGCUGGAACAGCCUCUGCCUGGGUAAUUAUUCACGUCUGGAAAGGGGGAAGAAAUCCCCUCUGGGAAGUGCUGGUUUAUAGGGCAUCACAACCUGGUGCAGCACAUUUCCUCAAGGGUAGGAAAAACUGUAGGAAAACGAGGGGAAAAAAAGGAGAUUUCAGGAUUGGAGUUGGGGUUUUGGUUGCUUUCAGGGACAAGAACUGUGACCACAGGGCUUGUGGGCAUCAUCAGGUGUGAGAUGAUCGCAGCAAUGCAGGUGCAGCAGCGGAGGGGUGAUGUUCCUUCUCCAGCCCCACGUGGGAGCAGCGUCUGGGGAAAACCAAAGCAAUGCCACUGCUUUGCUGGGUCUGAGCAUCCCUUGCACAGGUCCAAAGGCUCAGAAGAGAGGGAGUAAGCUUUAUGGGAACAGCUCACUUUUCCCUGCUAUCGGGGUGCUCUCUGGCACUGCACGCUCCCUGCAUGGGCACGCAGGAGGAACUUCCAGCCUUCAUCGCUCACCCUUCAGCACAGAGCUGAGCCUCCAUCUGCUCUGACGCCUUUCCCAUCUCCUGCAGCCCUCAGCAGCACAGGGCAAGGGCAGCCCCAUGGUACCUCAUAAAUAGCCUGGCCUCAGAGCAGGAGCAGCUGGAGCACUGGUGGGAUGCUCACGGUCGAGAGCAGCGCCUUCUGCUGCUUGCCUGCCCUUGGGACCAGCAGGGAGACAGAGCAAUGGCCGAAGGAAAAGCAGAGAGGCUGGCCGGUGAAACAGAUGUUUAAGCAAUUUUGAAACUCAGUGCCCGCACAGCAACCGUGUGGAACCCCAAGGAGUUAUUCCAUCAGCAGCAUCACUACUGUGAUUUGCUGGAUCACCACUGCAAUCAGCUCCAGUGCCUAGCGAGGAACCUGAAGAGGAAGAGACAUAGGUAGAAAUGAAACAGAGAGAAAAGGACUUAAAGGAAGGGAGAGAAGGGGAGAGGUCAGGAAGGAUGAGAGCACCGCAAAGAAGUGGCCAAGCAAAGACAAUGCCUACAUGGGGAUUGCUGGCAGCUCACGGACACUGCCUUGUUUUUCCAGCAGCACUCUCAAGAGGAAAAGAUUUCAUCCCAAGUGCUGCUCCUUGAGCAGGCAAUCAUCUCUACCAUAACUGUGUGGGCUCUGGAGAAAUAAAUUAAGCCAGGCAGGCUCAAUCACAGUUGUGGCAGAGGCAAAGGAUUUAUGGCUGCAAGGCUCAGGGACGCAGGAUGCAGCGUGAUUCUGCAAACCCUCCUGCCCAGUGUUACAGGAGAUCACACUGGGUCCAGGCGACAAAGGAUGCCCUGGUCCCGUGGCACCCAUAUCCGGCAAGAAGAGUGCCUGUGUCCAAAAAAUAACAUUUCUAUGCCAUCUGGUAGGAUUAAGCAGCCCUGAGCAACUGCAUCCAGACCAUGGCAUCCAAGGAGAAACAUCAGACACCAAAGGUGCUUGGGUCCUGAGUGUCAGAAGGAAAUGUUUGGCUGCUUUGUACAAACGGGCAAGGGCAAAGCUAGAAAGCAGAGGUAUUUGCUUGUUCCUCACCCUUCACGUAAUGAAAAGCAAUAACAGAGAACAGUGGGAAGGAGAGGCACUAACAGCCUGGAUUUAUCCAGCUGUUGGAGAAAAAUCUCUACUGCUGACCUCUCGAUGAAAGUGUAGAUAACUGUUUUAGUUUUCAGAGAGGAUAGCCUCAAUUCUUGCAAAAAUCCCAUUUCUAGUCUUCAGGGGACUGAGCAGGGCCUUGAUCUAUAGCUCCAGUUUUCAAAGAGCAAAUGAAAUGCUUUCUCUUUUCAUCCAUAUCCCGCAAGGGCCAACCAUCAUGAAAAAUGGGAGCGCCUCCCUCGCAGGAGAUUACCAGUGAAAUUUCCUGGCUGAAAACCUGGGUUCUGUUCACCACUGCUAUUGUGGGUAAGAGUGUCCCAGGCCGACUCUUGCCUUUGAGAGCCUCCUGCAUUCAGCAUGCAAUGCAUGAUGGGGAGAAGGAAAGGAGGGGGGGUCAAGGGAAGGUGGGGAUUUAGGAGCUGGAGGAAGGAGGAAAAGGAAGAGGAAGAGGAGAGAGAGAAAGAAGGAGAAGGAGGACAAAGACAAAGCAAAGACAAAGAUGAAGACAAAGACAAAGAUGAUGACGAUGAAGAUGAAGACAAAGAGCAGAUAUCUCCUCUGGAAGCAAGAAGCAGACACUGGAAUUGAGUAUUUUCAGCCUUUGAGGUUUUGUAGCCCGCAAAAACAUCUUCACUGCUCCCUGGAGAACUUCUGAUCCAUCCAGCAAUAACUGAGAGAGCACGUUGGGAGAUGUCUGACAGAGUGCCUUUGGGACUUUUUGAAUCUGUAGAUGAAGAGUUUCACUUUCCUCUAGGAAAAUGUCAGGGCAAAAAGAGCCAUGUUCCAGGUUGACCAAAACCAAUAAUUCUUUUAGUUUUCUUAUUUGGGCAUGGCCGUGGGUUGUUUCCACGCCAUCUUAUUCCCAGGAGUCACGAAAAGCAGCAGCUCCAUUGAUUUGAAGCGGGCUCAUCUGAAAACUAAACUCCAAAAAUGCCCAGUUUAUUGGUGCAGCUGCAGGGAUGACAUGACAAGAGCUGAGAAAGGGCACUGGGGCUGCUCAGGAAAGGGGUGAUUUCUUGCCCAGGGCUGAAGCCAUUCGCAGAUUUGAGGCUUGAGACACUUGAAGAUUUCUGGGAAAGGAACAAUGGAUUUGCUAAGUAUUAUUAUUUAAGUGACAAGGCUGAAAAUUGAAAAGAAAAUCUGUUUACCAAAAAUAACAAUAGUAGAUAUUUGUCAUCACUGUCAGACCCAUGCAAUUUCAUAGGUUUCAUAAGCUCCCAUUAAUUUUCUUGUUUGGGAGGAUUUGCUGUUUUAAUGAAACCUAUUUACACUGGCAACUGCUGGAAAAUCAUUCAUUAGUGGACAAGAACUAUUGAUUAUUUUCAUCCAACUACUCAGCCACGUAGUAGCCAAUUACUGGAACCAAGAAAUAAAGAAAUAUCAACAUUGUGUUCCUGCUCCUAUUUCCAGCAGAACUUUGCUCCC